rnacentral:tRNA from 7 species
GCCGAGGUGGCGGAACUGGCAGACGCGCAGGAUUUAGGAUCCUGUGGCCGCAAGGCUGUGGAGGUUCAAAUCCUCUCCUCGGCA